rnacentral:lncRNA from 1 species
UGUUUAAUUAUUAUUGUUGUGCACAAAUAUUUUUUCCAUCUUUUUUUGUCAAAUUAAAUAGCAAAAACUCACCCCAACACCUCCCACCCAAAAUGUGGACAGUGAGAUAUGGAAUACAAUAGAGAUUGACACACAUAUAUAUAUUGUGACCACCUCACCUGUGAUGGGGCAUAAGGUGUCAUCUUUGACGGGUUGAUGUAUAAGCAAAAGGGCAAAAUGUAAAAAAAAAAAAGAAGAGAAAAUCCCUUAUCCUCAUCCCAUAGAUGGAAUCAAUCCUCCUUAGCCCACAACAUUGAGUCGAGCAACAAUGGUGAUAGUGCUGCUCUCCCAUCCUCCUUCCCCUCCCCUGUCCUCCUCUUGUGGCUGUGCUCCCCCAUCCUUCUAGACGGGAAGCGGUGGUUUGCCCCAUCCUCCUCCCUCGGUGCUACUCCCCUAUAGCAGCACGGACCCUGUUCUAGCAGUGUUGGACCUCCACACAGUGGUAUGACCCCCCACUAGCAGCAUCGGGCUCUCCCCUAGCGGUGCCUAGCAGCUAACCUCUACCUAGCCCCUUAGGGGAGGUGUUGCCCCUCCACCUAGUAAUUAGGUGUGCCUAGGCACCACGUUUAGGAACAUUAUAAGUUAUUCUUGAUGUUUGUUUUUAUGUCAUAGGGUAUAUCAUAUCUAAUAUUCCAGCAAAGUUGUCCCA